rnacentral:misc_RNA from 1 species
GCAGAAGGAUCAUUAUUGAAUUGUAAAAAUGGGGAGUCGCUUUCGAGCACUCCUCUACCUUUCUUUAUUCCUAAACACCUGUGAAUCGUUGCUGAGUUCGCUCAGUGGCACCAAUUUAAACACAUUUAUAGUUUUGAACGUAAAAAAAAACAAAAAAACAAAAAUAUAACUUUUGACAACGGAUCUCUUGGUUCUCCCA